UACGGUAGGGUGGCGAGCGUUGUCCGGAAUUACUGGGCGUAAAGAGCUCGUAGGCGGUCUAGUCGGCGUCGGCUGUGAAAACCCGGAGCUCAACUCCGGCCUGCAGUCGAUACGGGCAAACUGGAGUACGUGCAGGGGAGACUGGAAUUCCUGGGUGAUAGCGGUGAAAUGACGCAGAUAUCAGGAGGAACACCGGUGGCGAAGGCGGGUCACUGGGCGAGUAACUGACGCUGAGGAGCGAAAGCGUGGGGAGCAAACAG
rnacentral:rRNA from 1 species